rnacentral:rRNA from 1 species
GCGUAUCAAUAAGCGGAGGAAAAGAAACCAACAGGGAUUGCCUCAGUAACGGCGAGUGAAGCGGCAAAAGCUCAAAUUUGAAAUCUAGUACCUUUGGUGCUCGAGUUGUAAUUUGAAGAUAUUUCUUUGGAGUUGGCCCUUGUCUAUGUUCCUUGGAACAGGACGUCAUAGAGGGUGAGAAUCCCGUCUGAUGGGGUGUCCAACUCUUUGUAAAGUUUUAUCGAAGAGUCGAGUUGUUUGGGAAUGCAGCUCUAAGUGGGUGGUAAAUUCCAUCUAAAGCUAAAUAUUGGCGAGAGACCGAUAGCGAACAAGUACAGUGAUGGAAAGAUGAAAAGAACUUUGAAAAGAGAGUGAAAAAGUACGUGAAAUUGUUGAAAGGGAAGGAUAUUAGAUCAGACUUGGUGUUUUACGAUUAUCUUCCCUUCUUGGGUUGUGCACUCGUGCUACACUGGGCCAGCAUCGAUUCGGACGGUAAGAUAAUGACUUAGGAACGUGGCACUCCUUCGGGGGUGUGUUAUAGCCUGUGUUGAUGUUGCCUGUCUGGAUCGAGGACUGCGUCUUUUGACUAGGAUGUUGGCGUAAUGAUCUAAUAUCGCCCGUCUUGAAACACGGACC